rnacentral:lncRNA from 1 species
CGUAUCCGAGUCCGAAUAUUCAACGUCCGAUACCGAAUCCGUAUCCGAAUAUUUAAAUCGUAUAUUUAUGGUGUCGACAUCCAAUUGUAUCUUAUCCGACAUGAUUGACAUUAUCCGUAUUCGGAUCCGAAUCCGACCACAAAUAUAAAAACAAAUAUGAUAUUAGUGAUAUCCGUUCGUAUCCGAUACGUUUUGAUCCUACUCAUCAGUUGGGCUCAAGAAAGCGAGAGUCGCAUCCUAUCACAGGCAGCACCAAACACAUGUCCUUCUCCCAUGUGGGGCCAUGCCUUUUCUUUAGGUUCCCCGCGGGCCCACCCCAAUAAUUACACUGCCUUCCCUUCAGAGUUGUCAUGUGGUCUACGGCCGGCCGAGCUAAUUGAGAUGGCGCAACCUAGAUUCAUAUGAAAUCGAAGUGUGGCAGUAAAGCAUUGUUUAGUUCCAAAAAAUUUUACAAAAUUUUUCAGAUUUCUCGUCACAUCAAAUCUUUAGACACAUGCAUAGAAUAUUAAAUAUAGAUAAAAAUAAAAACUAAUUAUACAGUUUCGUCGGAAUUUACGAGACGAAUCUUUUGAACCAAGGUAGUCCAUAAGUGGACAAUAUUUGUCAAAUACAAAUGAAAGUGCUACAAUGUCGAUUUUCCAAAUUUUUUUGAACUAAAGAAGGCCCAAAUUAUGGAAGGUUUCGACAACUAAGGUCCUGUUUGGUGUGGGGAAUUAAAUUUUAACUUUUCCACAUCGAAUAUUUUGAUAUAUACAUGUAGUAUUAAAUAUAGACUAUUUAUGAAACUAAAAACAUAGCUAGACAGUAAUUUGCGAGACGAACCUUUUAAGCCUAAUUAGUCCAUAAUUGAACAAUAAUUGAUAAAUAAAACAAAAAUGCUACAGUACAUGUUAAACUUUAACACCACCAACCAAACACCCACUAAUAGCAGCAUGCUGCAAAUAUUUCGAGAUGAGAAAUGCUAUCAAACACUCAUUAUUUUCUAUCUUCUCUUCCUCUUUCUUUCAUCUUUUUCUAACUCGUAGAAUUAGAAGAGGCUCGCAGGCCAACCAGGCGAUGGGAACGACAGGAGGGCAGCGAUUAGAGUUCUGUUGAUGUAGAAGGCGGCCGAGCCAAGUUGGGACGGAAGCGGCCAUGGCCAUGGCCAUGGCGGCAGUGGAAGGAGAAGGAGAAGACGUAGGUUAUUGUACGCCACAGGCAGACGAUAGGGUCUCGUCAGAGCUCCAUGGCCGCGAAGCUCCAACCACGCCGUGAUUGGGUGAUGAGGAGGAGGAGGAGGAGGAGGAAGAAGAAGAAGAAGAAGAAGAAGAAGAAGAAGAAGAAGAAGAAGAAGAAGAAGAAGAAGAAGAAGAAGAAGAAGAAGAAGAAGGAAGAGAUACGAGCUCCAACUAGCUCCAACGUGCCAAAGAUUUUGAGGCCCCGGAGCAAACCAAGAAAUGGAGGAAUACACUAGUGAAAUACAAAAAAAUCGAUAUAUAGUUGUAUUCCGGCAUAUAAGUAACAAGUACAUGUUAUUUUGCAUUCAAAGAACUGCAAUAUGAGUUUAGAAUUCUUACUAAUCUGCUUUCAUCAUCGUCGAUGUAUGUGCAAUCUGCUAUCUCUAUCUAUCUCCACACCUCUUGACUAGUCGACUACAUACUACCUCACUUGUCGUAGGCAUGCAGUGCUACUCGAAGGAGGAUUGGGACUGUUCCACGUCCAUGGAUAAUAGAGGAUCACUACAUAUGAUAGGCCAAGUUAAAGCUCAAUAGUUGGGGGCCCUAAUUUAUUGGGGCCUGGUCUAGCUACUCCAGUUGCGCUGCCUAAUGUAUAGGCC